GAUGAACGCUGGCGGCGUGCUUAACACAUGCAAGUCGAACGAUGAAGCCCAGCUUGCUGGGUGGAUUAGUGGCGAACGGGUGAGUAACACGUGAGUAACCUGCCCUUGACUCUGGGAUAAGCCUGGGAAACUGGGUCUAAUACUGGAUAUGACUUCUCAUCGCAUGGUGGGGGGUGGAAAGAUUUAUUGGUCUUGGAUGGACUCGCGGCCUAUCAGCUUGUUGGUGAGGUAAUGGCUCACCAAGGCGACGACGGGUAGCCGGCCUGAGAGGGUGACCGGCCACACUGGGACUGAGACACGGCCCAGACUCCUACGGGAGGCAGCAGUGGGGAAUAUUGCACAAUGGGCGCAAGCCUGAUGCAGCGACGCCGCGUGAGGGAUGACGGCCUUCGGGUUGUAAACCUCUUUCAGUAGGGGAGAAGCGAGAGUGACGGUACCUGCAGAAGAAGCGCCGGCUAACUACGUG
rnacentral:rRNA from 1 species